rnacentral:piRNA from 1 species
UCAAACACUACUGAGAAAUGCUAAGACGCCU